rnacentral:hammerhead_ribozyme from 1 species
GUACUGAUGAGGAGUGCCAAACUAGGACGAAACAGCUUUCCAGUAC